UACGGAGGAUGCGAGCGUUAUCCGGAUUUAUUGGGUUUAAAGGGUGCGUAGGCGGACGCUUAAGUCAGCGGUAAAAUUGCGGGGCUCAACCUCGUCGAGCCGUUGAAACUGGGUGCCUUGAGUGGGCGAGAAGUACGCGGAAUGCGUGGUGUAGCGGUGAAAUGCAUAGAUAUUACGCAGAACUCCGAUUGCGAAGGCAGCGUACCGGCGCCCUACUGACGCUGAAGCACGAAGGCGUGGGUAUCGAACAGG
rnacentral:rRNA from 1 species